GGGAGGGAUGUAAGUGUCCGGCGGGUCCCUUAUAGCUUCUGAGGGGAAUGCUGGCGCUGUCCUUGCACCUGGGGAGACAACUCGCGCCUUACACCCCGUGGCACCCUGUGCGAAGCUCUCCGUCGCAGUAAAUCGCUGCCGUUCCCCGUCCGGGUGUGAGCUGCGAUGUAGAAAUUCGAAAAUGUAUUUUCGGGCACACUUCUCGUUUUUCCUGUUUCUUUUCACUCAUUUGAGCCUUCAGACCUGGUUUUCCCUUCCUCUUAGGGGAGAAAAGUCUUAACAUCCAUGCAGAUCAAACAACUUAGGAAAUUAUUUUCAUGUUGCACAUUUGUGUAAGGUUUGAUUCGUGUAUUUCCAUUCCUACUUGGUUUCAGAGUGUGGUAUCUGGGUGGAGGUUUUUUGGCAAUUAUUUUCUGUAUGGUCUAGGUGGUUGUUCUGCACUAGAAGUGCUCAGAAAAUACUCAGAAAGGUUGUUUUUAUUGGGUAGGUAAAUGGUAGCUGUGAUAGCAAAUGCACUGCACUUCCUAUGAAAUACCAAUUUCUGGAAUAAGCAGUGAUGGUGUCUAAAUACUAUGAGCCUGUGCUCCCUUUUAAAGAGAUGUAUUGAUAUGUACAAAUUAUUGAAGAACUUUUUAUUUCUGUUACUCUAAUUUACAGGAUAAGCAUCUACAAGUUAAUUUUUUUUUAAGGAACUGUUGCAAUAGCUUAUACAAAUCAGAGGAAAAAAUAAAUUAUUGUGGGAUUUGCUCAGCCUAGGGAAGAAACUCAAAACUGCCCCAGGGCAGACUUAACUAUAAUGAGUCUAAAGUGGUGGUUGAAAUUGUAGCUUCUGGGUUAUGCAGGUAAAAUAAAAUGGGGCUGUAAACUGUCCAUGAUGACAUCUGUGGUAACAAAGCUGCUAAAGUAAUAGGGCUGACACUACUUGGAAGUUUCCCUCUCUCUCAAGAAGAUACUGUUACAGACUAGAAAAUCAUUUUCCUACACUAUAGUUGACUUUAGAAACAAUUUUGAGGUCAGUUAGCAUUCUUUACCAGUUUCUCGACUGUCAUUUUGGGCACCUGGAAGCACUGGAAUUCAGUCAGCUGCAGGCAGUCUGUGGCCUGAAAGAUGCCCAGAUGUGGGAGAAGGAGGAGGAUUGUGGUGGCUGAGGUCCCCUCUCCUGGGUCUCGCUCCCACCUGCUGUGCUGCCUUUGUGAGACUGGCUGUCCCUUGGGCACAGGGACCACCUACUAUCUCCCCUCAGGAGCCACUGGCUCCAGCAUCCUCCUCAUCCUGUGCCUGGGGUUCCCUCAGCGACACCGUGGCAACAAAGUUCUGAGGGGGUCAGGGGUCCUCAGCGACACCCCCUCGACACAGCAUCCCGUGCUGGGCAGUGGCUGAGAGGGGGCGAAGCAUCCGGACGUGCCACUGGAGAAGGGAAAGAAGGAAAGGGAGGCCCCAUGCUGUUGUCAGGCCUGCUGCUUGAGUGGAGAUGAUUUCAAUCACAGCUUUAACUGUUCUAAGAAGGAUGACUGUGGAUCCCAAGAAGGUUUGCUGACAGGUGAUUUCUCUGACACCUUGGAAGACAAGAAAGGACAUUCCCAACAUGUUCUGCACACCUACACCUGGGUGCACAAGCUCAAUCCAGACAAAGUUCAUGAUACAUUCGGUAGAAUUAUUCUGAUGGAUGGAGUAUCCACAAAGACUGGGUUUGUAACGAGGCCAGAAAUGUGUGGUGUGACAAUCAGCUGUCCUCCUCCUGGAAGUUUCUCAGUGAGCUGUACAUGCAUGAACACACAUUUCUUUUUUUCCUCUCACACACAAAAGCUCUGUGUCAAGUUGUUUGAGUGAGUUGUGACAUGUAUUAAUGUUGUUGGCUUCUAAUAUUGUUGGGUUCUUUCCACUGGGGGCUGACUACUGCAAUCCCAUUGGAAAAGUUUUCCACCAAACUCAGAAAUAACUUUCAUUAAAACUCUAUCCAGACACCCUCAAGCAUGGGUGUCUUUCUAUUCAUGAAUGUAAGCAGCAAAGAAAAGCAAUAAAUCCCUUUGAAUAAUGUGCCAGUGCUCUACUGUUAUGUAAUUGUCAUUCCUAACUAAAAGAUGGCUAUUUACCAAUUAAAAAAUAGUGGCAAGGAUUUAAGGGAUUUUAAAUUAAUUCUGCUGCUUCCAGAAUAUCUAUUAGAUAAAAUCUGUUGAAUUUGGAUUAUUGACCCUUAACUUGAAAACUGUUUUUACAAACAUUCUCCAGGAAAUACAUUGAGUACUUAACUUCCCCUAUGAAAACCACAAAAAGCUGUAUACCAAAAUACAAGGAUUAAGGGCCAGAGCCAUGACAGAUUAAGACUUGGACAGGGAUAUGAAAACACCUCAUUGAAUGUACUUGAUAGGAAAAUUUCUUUUCACCAAUAUACACCGUUUGACUACAAAUAAAUACAGGACAUAAGGAAUUGUUCAAUAUUUUUAUAAUAGUAGAAUAUUUCCAUUGCCUUGAAAUGCUUAAAGAACUGUGAAGUUGUGUUACUGAUGAACGUAGGGUUACUACAAGAAGCUUCACGCAAUUAACUUAUACAACAAAGGAAACACCUGUUUUUGUCCGUGAGGACUUGGAUCUUCCAUGGAGCUGCAGGAAUUUGGGCAGCUGGGAGAAGACCCUGUAGCCUCUUAGCAGCCUUCCAAAGAGAUCACCGUGGAAGUCUCUUGUGCAAGACUCCUGCAGGUAGUGCUGGUCUGUUUGUUUUAAACUCUUUGAUACAGGAUAAUUCAAGCGGGUAGUUAAUACGAAGUUUUAUCAUCCUCUGCCUUUGGAUGUCUCAUUAAGCAUGACUUGCUGUCGUUGGGAUUUUAAAUGCCAGAAGGCUUCUCAAUUACCUCAAUUAUCUUUGCCCAAGGAAUGAUUGCUAUUUCCAGGCACGCAUCCUGUUGCCCGCAGUUUCUCACUCAGGUUUUUCUGGCAUCAUUCUUACAUUAAUAGCCCUUACCUCAGCAUGCUACAGACUAACAACUAUCCCACGGUACCUCCUGAGCACACUGCAGCACUGACACAGUUCCUGCAUGGGCUCUCUCACUCUCCUGCUUCCACGCUAUUCUAGGAACUUUUGGAAGCUUCAUUUUAUUUAAAACCCUCAAAUUAUAGAAAUCGUGCAUAUCACAUAGAACACAUUCUAUCCAAAAAACAUUUAUUGAAAUUUCUUCUCUGAUUAAAUAGACCAUCUGUAAAAGGGAGUUAUAUGGGGGAAAAAAGUAGAUUAAAAAGUUAUCACAAGAAAAACAAGGAGUGAAAUGUGUCAAAUUGUUUCUGUUCAGUUCCCUGUUCUAGUAGCUCAUCUGGACAUAACUUAUUUGAUAAAAUAUGGGUGAAUAUGAAAAAUAUUUUAUGAAUUUCAAAUGUAUGCCCUGUCAUGCCAUUUUGUACAGAAUGUUACCUAAACUGUGUGGGACAUACAGUUUUAGUGCCAAGAUCUGUAGUAAUAUUUUGGCUUCUAAUGCCUAAAUUCCCAUUUACUGAAGCAGGACCUGGGGCCUAAGAA